ensembl:lncRNA
GGGAAAAUGAGAGGGAGAGAGUGGAGGGUGGGGAGAGGGCCAGAAAGUGAUAGAGGGGGAAAAGGGCCUGUGGGUAAAUAGAAACGUUAGUGAGUCUUUGUGUGGAUCUGGAGCUGCUCCUGAGGGGUCGACUCUCAGCGCGCCCCGGUGACGUGACGUCCUGAUGAUGUCCUGAUGGCGUCCUGAUGGCGUCCUGUUGGUCUGCAGAGACAAGGAGAAGAGACGUGAGGAGGAUCAUCGGGAUGUGAGAAAACAUUCAUAGAUCCAAUUAUUUUAAUUUGAUGUACCUUCAUUUAGUUAUUUCAUGUUUGUAUCUACAUUAUACAUUGUGGUUGUUAAAGUGUAUUUCUGUAUAUGCUUUUCAUGUUUAGUUCCUGAGAAGAAAGAAAGAAAAGUUAGUAACACGUUAAUGUUGUUAGUAACAAAAUCUCCAACAGGAAUCAGGAAACAUUUAUUGCCAAAAGACGAGUACGGCUCCUUUUUCCUUUUCCUUUUUCACGCGUCUCUGGUUCCGCUCUGGCUUCCACUGAAGAUCCCCCCACACUGGCUCGGCACAGCCAUUUACCCCCAUGAUGGUCAGCUGCAGGAGGGACGUCCCCAGCACACCUGAAGAAAGUCUCUCACACACACACACACACACACACACACACACACACACACACACACACAUAUAUGGAGCAAAUCCAGGUCAAACGUUUUGUUCGUUUGAAAAAUGAAAAAAAUGAAAAAUGAAAAAAAUGAAAAAUGAAAAAAAUGAAAAAUGAAAAAAAUGAAGUGGGGAGGAAGGGAGAGUGAUGGGGGCGGGGGGAAGAGAGUGGGGGGGACAAUGGGAGAGUGGGGGCAGAAACAGAUAGAGGGGGAAAAGAAGAGAGAGGGUGGAGGGUGGGGAGAGGGCCAGAAAGUGAUAGAGGGGGAAAAGGGCCUGUUGGAAAAUAGAAACGUUAGUGAGUCUUUGUGUGGAUCUGGAGCUGCUCCUGAGGGGUCGACUCUCAGCGCGCCCCGGUGACGUGACGUCCUGAUGAUGUCCUGUUUGCGUCCUGUUGGUCUGCAGAGACAAGGAGAAGAGACGUGAGGAGGAUCAUCGGGAUGUGAGAAAACAUUCAUAGAUCCAAUUAUUUUAAUUUGAUGCACCUUCAUUUAGUUAUUUCAUGUUUGUAUCUACAUUAUAUAAUGUGGUUGUUAAAGUGUAUUUCUGUAUAUGCUUUUCAUGUUUAGCGAGUCUCUGUGCAUACCAACAUGUUAGAGUGUCUCUGUGUAAGUACUUUUAUAUGCGUCUCUGUGUACAUGUACAUGAUAACAGCAAGAAUCAGAGGUUUAUCUCAAGGUACUAACUGUAAAUCACAGCUUUCACCACGCGAUACACCGACACAUCACAUCAUUCACAGCCGUACGGCUGCAGUCUGUCUGGACUCCUCACUUACCUUCAGCUCUGUUGAGUGCAGCAGAAGGCGUCUUCAUCUCCUCUUCACACUCCUAAGGCCUUACGGUUACUUUCUGCAAGUUUCUCUCUGGAAAACUUCAGUGUGUGUAGUUUGAAACUAACUGACUGAAUGUGCCACAGACCUUAUGCUGAGGUGAACGGAGCUUAGAACAUGGAGCUUAGAACAUGGAGCAUAGAACAUGGAACAUGGAGCUUAGAACAUGGAACAUGGAGAAAUGUUCCAUCAUGAUGUCACGUCUCUAUGGUUACAGUGAAGGUAUCUUGAAUAUGGAAAUGAGCCUUUAAAGUAAACGUGUGUGUGGACGGUGUAUCUGUAUUGAUGGAGCUCAUCCACUUCACAUGCUGCAUAAAACACUUUGCUCUGUUUGUUUUCUAUGACCCGAUCAUCUUGAUCUUGAAAGCAAACACUUUAAAGAAUAAAUAAAGAACGAUUUUUGAUUUUGGUCCAUUGUUUCAAGUCGGAAAUAUAUAAACUCUUGAAUCCGGGUCGUUAAACCUCCCGUUCGAGCCCUCUUGUCUGCAGUCAUUAUGCUAAGCUAACCAGCUACCGAUGC